GGGUGGUCUAUUGGUUCGGUAGUUUCCAUUCGUAUGGAAUUCGGAUGGAAACUAACGAACAAUCAUACGAAUUCUACUUACAAUUAACUAUACAGCAGAAAUAACACACGAAUUGCAGGAUUCUCAUAGUCUUUAAGGACAGCCUUAGUACCAUCCGCUACAAUCCAUAUCAACUUUCGAUGCAACUUUCUGCGCCUACCAUGGUGACCACGGGUAACGGGGAAUCAGGGUUCGAUUCCGGAGAGGGAGCCUGAGAAAUGGCUACCACAUGCAAGGAAGACAGCAGGCACGCAAAUGACCCACUCCCGAUGUGGGAAGGUAGUGACGACAAAUAACAAUACAGGACUCUUUAGAGGCCCUGUAAUUGUAAUGAGUCCACUU